UUCUUUGCGCAGAGGCAGUAACAUAGCUAAUGAGGUUCAAACCGAGGCGUGUUUAUUGCUAAUUGAAAACUAUUCCCAAUACCCCGCCUAGAAAACUUCGAUUUUCUAUCUAUUUUUUGUAUCAAUUUCACAAUU
rnacentral:snRNA from 1 species